rnacentral:lncRNA from 1 species
AGAAAUCCCUUAACCAAUGCAAUAAUCAGGACCACCACGGCACUCACCAUAUUCAAAGCAGGGGUCAAGUUCAAUGUCAUCCCCCCAGUGGCCCAGGCCACAGUCAACUUCCGGAUUCACCCUGGACAGACAGUCCAAGAGUUACUUCUAUUGGCAACACAGACAGCCGAUUCUUUACAAACCUCACCACUGGCAUCUACAGGUUCUACCCCAUCUACAUACAGCCUGAAGACUUCAAACGCAUCCAUGGAGUCAACGAGAAAAUCUCAGUCCAAGCCUAUGAGACCCAAGUGAAAUUCAUCUUUGAGUUGAUUCAGAAUGCUGACACAGACCAGGAGCCAGUUUCUCACCUGCACAAACUGUGAGGUCAAGGGGCCUGCUGGGUUAGGCAUGCCCGACCCCGGGACAGGACUAACCCAAGGGGGAAAGCUAGUGUUGAUGAAACUUUUGAUCAAAACCACAUUGUAAAACAUUGCCCAUCUGUCUUGCUCACUCUUAAACUCUCCCAAGAACAAGGCCGGGGUAAGGUAAAGUCAGCAGAAAUCUGGCUUCUCCCUUCCUCCCGACAUCUGCAUCCCUUGAUCCACUGGCAUUUGCUGCCCUCUUGUCCCUUAUCUGUCUUAUGCUGGUUA